rnacentral:lncRNA from 1 species
UCAGGUUCUCCUCUAAUGAACACAAGGUAUUUCCAAAAUGGAGCCAGAACAGCGGAAGAAGGAGGAAGAGGAGGAAAGGGAGGUAAAUCUGGACAAGAAGUUCUGUCAAAAGAGAAGGAGGAGGCCAGAUAUUUGCAUGAGGAGGUGCUGUGAAUACUAAACAGGAAUCCAGCUGGUGUUUCUAGUGGUGGAUCUCUACUUAAGGAGGAAGACUCAGUUAUAGAAGAGAAGAAUGAAGACUUGAUUGAGGACCCAAAGGAUGACCAAGAAGAGGUACAGGAGAAAACCCAGAAUUCUGCAGGGUCUUGGCGAUGCAAGUGUCAGAGCCAUUUGAACCAGAGCUACUCCAUCUUGAGUGAGGGCUAAGAAAACUGAGGCUGGGACUUGCUGGGCUGCAUUCCCAGGAGGGUAAGUAUUCCUAGCCUCUAGGUUAACGGAACAGAUUAAUAACGUUUACUAACAGACCCAGACUCAGGAAUGUCCUGAUAUCCUGAUGUCUUAAAAACAAAAGCACUCCUAAUUUUGCUUUAAAGAUAAAUAUCGAUCCUUGCAAAAUAUAGUAAUUAAGAAAACUAAUUGUUUAAAUCACAAACCUUUGUAGUAGAGCAAAUCUCCCCAUUUUUUUGU